AUUUUUUUUUUUUUUUUUUUUGAGUGUAGAGUAGAUCAAUUGCUGAACUAGUGAAUUAUUUACAACUUUUUGAUGCAAACCAAAGAAGAUGUCAAGAGACGGCACAUGAACACGCGGCUCGAUUAUUACCGUUAAAUAAACAAAACACAGCCUUGGUUAUUUAGUAUUUACAGCCGGAAUCCGAAGCGGAGGAAGAAGAAGCAGAGCCUGGCGAGGACGACGAGGGACUCGAUCACCCACAGCAGCCGGAACACCACGCUCUCGUACAAUAGCCGGAGGAGGUGGACGCGCGGCAGCCGUCUCCUCUGCCGCCGCAGCGCCGUGGUCAGCGCGCGAACGCGCAGCAGCGACCCGCCACCGGCCGCCGCCGUCAUCUUCUUCCGUAUCCAAUCCCGCUUCCUCCCGCCGGCCAUCGGCGGCAAUCGAUCUUCAGGUCGCCGGUGGUCGCACGUUCGCCUCCGUUUCACUGUUUGGAUGGUACUAACACGGUUGCUCUGUGGACUCUGGGAUGUCUCGAGUCUUUUAUGCUAGAGUGCGACGCGGUUUUGCACUUGCAUCAACACAAUUUUUAACAUCUGAAUAUGGAUUGAGCCGGCAGAUUGACCUGACUGGAUGUGCUGGUUCAAAACUGAGAUGGUCAAGAGCGUAAAAGUCACCACCCGGCAACUUCGUGGAGGAUCAUGCGCCAGAGCCGUGUCAUGUGCAGUGACGAUCUCUCGUGGAGGUUUUGGCUUUGAC
rnacentral:lncRNA from 1 species